rnacentral:rRNA from 1 species
ACGAACGCUGGCGGCGUGCCUAAUACAUGCCAGUAGAACGCACAGUUUAUACCGUAGCUUGCUACACCAUAGACUGUGAGUUGCGAACGGGUGAGUAACGCGUAGGUAACCUGCCUGGUAGCGGGGGAUAACUAUUGGAAACGAUAGCUAAUACCGCAUAAUAUUAAUUAUUGCAUGAUAAUUAAUUGAAAGGUGCAAUUGCACCACUACCAGAUGGACCUGCGUUGUAUUAGCUAGUAGGUGAGGUGACGGCUCACCUAGGCGACGAUACAUAGCCGACCUGAGAGGGUGAUCGGCCACACUGGGACUGAGACACGGCCCAGACUCCUACGGGAGGCAGCAGUAGGGAAUCUUCGGCAAUGGACGAAAGUCUGACCGAGCAACGCCGCGUGAGUGAAGAAGGUUUUCGGAUCGUAAAGCUCUGUUGUAAGAGAAGAACGGGUGUGAGAGUGGAAAGUUCACACUGUGACGGUAUCUUACCAGAAAGGGACGGCUAACUACGUG